UUUUUAUUGUUAUUGGUAGUAUCAUAUAAGUUUUGUACCUAUCUUUUAUAUACCAAAACUAAUUUUGUUUGAAUUUAUUCUUUUGCUAUUUUUGUUAAUAUUCUAUAAAACUACUUCUUGUGAGUGUACCUUGUGAUAUGCUCCAUUUGUUGAGAUGUUCCAUUGACCAUUUGUACAGUUUGUUUUUUGAAAGAAUGCACUCCAACUCCAAAAUCCCCUCUUGACCAUUUGUACAGUUUGUUUUUUCCACUCCAACUCCAACAUCCCCUCUCCCUUCUAUAACAUCCCCUCUCUCCUCUAUAAAAACACACUUCAUUGUAACAUUCCAUCUUACUCCAACAUCCUUUCUCCCCUCUAUAAAAGAAGUAGUGCAUUGUAACAUUUCAUCUUAUAUAAAAAUUGUGGGAAUUUAGAUAAAGGUAGAAAAUAUUAAUAAAGAGAUAGAAACAAAAAUUACUUACAAGUCUCUUCUCAUCUUCUUCUUUUUCUUUUUUGAUUUGAUUAUUCUUUAUUAAAUAUCUUACUUACAAGCCUCUUCUCAUCUUCUUCGUUUUUUUUUAUUUGAUU
rnacentral:lncRNA from 1 species